GGUCACUCCCAGGUCACAGUCUCAGCGAUGCCCCUAGGCUGAGGCCUUGAGCCUGCUGAGGCUGUGCAGAGUGGCCGUCAGACAGCUGAGGAAACGCAGGUGUGUAUCUCGAGUGGAGAGUGGUACCCUGUUUCCUUGUCCAGGAAUAAUGAAUGCUCAGACCCUGGUUGUUUGUUAGGAGAGGAAUGAGAAUUAUGUAUCUUGAUGUCUGACAGGAGCUUGCUUUCCCCAGGGCUGUUUGGCGUGAGAGCUGGCAGUUGGAAUCCGGUUGAUGACUAAUGCAAGUCAGAGUUGCAGGAGGGGUGGCCUCUCGGUCUUGAAAGCCACAAGCAGGGAGCAAUUGAAGACCGAGAGAUGGUCCCUGAUGGUAAAAAGCUCUCAAGAGGUUAAGGGGGAAAACAUCUGGUAAAAGCUCAUAAAAUUUGGCAAUUCUGGCGAUGUUUAUCUUUAGAGGAGUGGUGUUAGGGCGGAGUUUCAAGGAUGAGAUCCAUAAAUGUUUUGAUUCAUUAACCUGAAAGGCCUUUGUCGAAGUCUGGCCAGGGAGGGCUGGGCCAGGACUGCAUUCAGGUGCAAAGAGAAGUGGGGGCCCCCAUAUGUGGGUCAUAGACGCUUAGGAGAGGAGAAAUGAGGGACUUGCACGGCCCCAGGAGUAAGUGCUAAACUAAGAAACUAGGACUGGGAAACCAGGGAUGUGGGAGGAGGCAGGGAACAGCCAGUGGGGAGAAAACAGACCUUGAGGUUCCCAAGGAGCUGGGAGACUCAGAAGAAAACUGAGAGAAUUUUUUUUUUUUUUUUUUUUGGUAGAGACAGAGUCUCACUGUACCGCCCUCGGUAGAGUGCCGUGGCGUCACACGGCUCACAGCAACCUCUAACUCUUGGGCUUACGCGAUUCUCUUGCCUCAGCCUCCCGAGCAGCUGGGACUACAGGCGCCCGCCACAACGCCCGGCUAUUUUUUUUGUUGUUGCAGUUUGGCCGGGGCUGGGUUUGAACCCGCCACCCUCCGCAUAUGGGGCUGGUGCCCUACUCACUGAGCCACAGGCGCCGCCCGACUGAGAGAAUUUUUUAAAGACAACAUCAAAUCUUUAGAAAUGCUGAGAUAGAACAGAGAACCGGUGUGCAAACGCCUCUGUCUCCCCCACGUAACCCAUCAGCUAAUGUUACUGUUUUUCCAUACUUGCUCUAGAUUUCUCUUCAGGAAUAAAACCAAGUCUGAAGUCUUGUCUGUGAUGCCCCAAUCCUGUUGCCUCAUCCCAGGUUCUGAAGUCAAUUUGUGUCCUUCUCAUCCGUGGCCAAUGCCUUGCCAGGUGAUCGAAGCAGAGAAACUUGGGUGUUGAAAAGAGAAGAUGGGCCCUCUCCUGAGAACUUCUGAUCCUGAGAUUCUAGAGGCAGAGGCCUGGAGCUCUUGACUCCUGUCUGUGCUGUGUCCCCUUUACAAGGCCCUCAAGGUAGGACAGACCCACUGCUCUGAGCAGCCUCAUGGGCUCCGGACUAAAUCCACCAGCAUGCAGAUCCUGGUUCUGCCAGCUGCUUACUGUGUGACCUGGGGGUAAGUAUUAUAUUCUUUGAGAGGAAGGAUAGUUUCAACUGUAGGUAACACAAAUAGCAGUGGUUUAAACAAGAUGGGUUAUUGUACUUUGCCAAGCAUGGGCAGCUUGGAAAGGGCAUGAUAGUUCAUGGUAUCAGGGCCAAGUGCCUGUCUUCUCGCUUUAACGUCCUCAGUAUGUGGCUUUAACCUCACGGCCCAAGCUGGCUGCUAGGUUACAGCCAUCAAGUCAUACUCAUUCGAACAUGAAAGGAGGAUAGAAAAGGAUGUACUUUCUCCUCUUAAAAAUACCUCCAUCCCGAACAAUAAAAAAAAACCUCCCAAAGUUGCACACAGUGUUUCUGCUUAUAUCCAAUUGGUCAUUAGUCACACAGUCAUACCUAGCUAAGACUGGGAGACUGGGCAGUAUCUUUAUUUUCAGAUGGCCACAUGUCCACCUCAAGAGAUGGGGGAGUAUGCAGUUGUAGUGUGUUUUUUUGGUUUACCAACAUAGUUAAAGUUACCAAAACAAUGAGAAAACGGAGUCAUGAGGGAUAGCAUGAAGCACAAGCCAGUGUCUUCAAAGAAGGUAGAGAUGUGUUCCCGGAGUUGACAGAUGACAGCAGUGGGGAUUCAGGUAGACUGCCAGCCUGGAGUUGAAACAAGGGUGCCGGGUGAUGGAGGAGGAUCAGCAGCAGAGUGGCCAGGGAGUUAGGGCACGCUGAGCCCUCCUGCUGUCAGCUGUGUGCAGAGGGCCUGCCGUGGACUGCAUGACACGCAGUUUGCAUAGCGUGGAUGAUCAUCAUACUCACCCAGUGUAGAAACUCUCCUGAGGUUAGUUUGUGAUUUGGUGAUGUGUUUUAUGUUCGUAUGCGUCAGUGGGGAACUAGGGUCCUGGGGUCACCUACUGAGAAGGAAGGGCCUGUAUAUCGCCAUCUUCCUUUUUAGCUACUCAGGAAAGACAUUGGAUUUCUAGACAGCUUCGAAUGAUGGUGGGAAGGAAGGAAGGGUCCAUUCUGAGUGAAUGGCCAGCGGGCUGUGGGGAAGCUUUUAGGAAAUUGGCCAGGAUGUGUCUAGAGGUGGGCAAAAGAUCCUUAUCAGGUAAGGAGGGGACAUGGGGCAUUUUAGGAAGGCCUCCAGGCAGUGGCUGUGGACUUUCUGGAGAUUAAGCUGACAGACUCUUACCCAGGGCCAACCUUGUGUCAGUCUGUGCUGAGUUCAUGUGGUUAGUGCAUUUAAUUCUCGAACACUGGGAGGUGGGUACUAUUCAUAUUUCCAUUUUACAGAACAGGAACCUAAGGCACACAGGAGCUAAAUGACUCACCCACGUUCAAGCAGGGAGUAAGCAGAGUAGUUAGUAUAGAAACCCUUGACAUCUGGUUUAUAAAAUCUGUCUCUUAAUGCAUAUAAAUAGAUCCUCCCUGCGGUGUACCUGACAGCAGGUGGAGGCUGCUACCUUCCGGUCAGGUCCACUCAGAGCCACCCACUGAAAUGAGUGGAACAAAGAAUUUCUCUCUACUGAGCGGCGCCUGUGGCUCAAAGGCGUAGGGGGCUGGCCCCAUAUGCUGGAGGUGGUGGGUUCAAACCCAGCCCCUGCCAGAAACUGCAAAAAAAAAAUAAUAAUAAUAAUAACUUCUCUCAAUUAAUAGGCGGUGUUUCGAAUAUUAAGAGCAAAUUUUAAAAAUACAUAUAUUUCAGCAUUGAAGGGAAUAGCAGGGAGGAAGUGGCAACAUUAAUUGAAAUGAGUAAACUGGUAUUAGUAACUACAAAAUUAAGAAGCUUUCCACACCCUGCAUCCAGUGAAGGUGCAUCAGUGCUGAGAGAGGCUGUGUGAGCAGGGAGACCAGCAGGGAGCCUCGGCGCAGAAGACCAGAGCAGACCUGACGGAGCAGCCCCGCCGGCCCUGAAAACGUCACUAAACUCAUCCCCGCCAAGUGCUGUGAGUCCCCGAUGAGUCUGCAGGAGAACACGAGAAAAAUGGAAAGAUUCUGCUCUUUCUAAUGCCGCCUGCCAAUGGUAGGGACAGUGGAGAAAACAGAAAAGACCAAAAAAGAGAAACCCAAUCAGGGAAUUAAGGGAACUAGCUAUUUUAUUUAUUUACUUUUGAGACAGAAUCAUGCUUGGUUGCUCUGGCUAGAAUGCUGUGGCGUCACAGCUCACGGCAACCUCACACUCUUGGCUCAAAUGAUCUUCUUGCCUCAGCCUCCCAAGCAGCUGGGACUACAGGCACCCACGACCACCUCCAGCUGUUUUUAGAGGCCGGGUCUCACUCUUGCUCAGGCUGAUCUCGAACUCCUGAGCUCAGCCAAUCCACCUGCCUCAGUUUCACAGGUGUGAGUACAGCUGUGAGCCACCUCACCCAGCCCCCAGAUUCUGUUUUGCAAAUAACCUGUUUUGCAUUUUAAUUUUCUCUUAAGGGAGGCCAAGGAAGAGUUUUUUCUGACUAAAUGAAAGUAUCAGGCUUGACUGCUCAAACCUGGAGAACUCUGCUCUCAGAGUCUCUCCUGGGAGUAGAGAAAGGCACCGCCACCCUAGAGAAAGGGACAGGAGGAGGUUGUUGAGAGGUUAAGAACCUAAAGAUGAAAGAUUAUUCCGAGGCAUGAAACGGAAGGAAAACGGAGCCAUGGGUCUGUGUGGUCAAUGGGGUCUUUUCUCCACCUGGGUGCAGGCGGGGUGAAAUCUCUGUCUGGGAGAGAAUUAACACAUGGGCUACAGCGGAUGGAGAUUUAAAGGGUCAGGGCAGCAGGGAUUGGUGCAUUCAGUAUUUCCUGGGUGGGACAUGCACUUGAUCCUUCCUGGGGGUGGGGGGUCAGUGUUUCUCGGAUUCAACAACAGUACCUGGUCCUGUAUCACCCUUUGAAGGGAAGUGGUGGUGUGGGAUGGUGGGCAGGGAUUAUUGUCUGAGACCUGAGGACAGAAUGAAGCUUCUCAUCAUUCCUGAGGGUGGGUGAGGCUAGCUCCAGAGUGGAGAGCCAGCAGCCCUUCUGUGGGGGCUGCUAUGGAGACGGGAAAGGUGUCCCCUGAACCAAGGGUCUGUCAGUGAGAGCAGGGGAGGCUAGGCUACCUUAAGAGCACCUGUCCUACCAAGUCAAGAGACACCAGGCUGUGCGUUCUGCCAGCAGGGCCUGCAGCCCCCACAGGAGACCCUCACCACCCAGACCUAACCUCGUCUCACUUCACCCUCGGCCACGAAGCAAGCCAUACGCACCCUCCAAGGACACCAGAGCCUACUUGAGGGCAGGGGCUGAAAUCUGAAAGACUAACAAAACACACACACACACACACACACACACACGGAACAAACGUCGUAAAUGAUUGACUUAAUGUUGAGGGGAAUCUUUUUGCUGGUCCUGCAACUUUCUGUGAGUUUGAAAUUACCAAAGUAGUUUUAAAUAAUUUUUAAUGAUGUUCUCAUGUUAAAACAUUGAGGGUUUUUAAUUGUUCUUAUUUUCUACUCCUCCGUAACUUAUUCCGACAAUUGAAUUGACAGUCUUGUUUUCGAAAGGCCAUGUUCUGUAGGCUUUCCUGACCCCAGGCUCUCCUAAUUCUGAGAAUGCUGGAUUUUGUCUAAGCCUGUGAUCCCAGAAACCAACAAAGCCCCUUCCCCCAUGCUUUCCAGUAAGAAAACUUACUGGAAAGAAUCACUUUCCCAGAGGACUUAGUUAAGGCUCCUAGAUGCCCCCUUGUUUGCUAAUGAUAAAGGGCGGAAACAGAGCCUCCACAUGCCCACCUUAGUCUCCUAAAUGGUUGGCUGAGCUUGAUCCUUGAUCCUUCUCACGGCUGAUCAAACAGAACACAACAGGCUAAGCUUCUUUUCUUGCCCCAGGUCCCUGCACUUUGGCCUGUUCUCAGCCUGAACCAGCAGACAUUCCCUCCCUGUAAAGGGUCCCCCAGGGUAAAAACCUCCCCUGAUUUGGGUCGGCCCCUCCUCUUUGGCCCCUCCUCCCUCUCACUUGGUCCUGUGUGUUUACUCCCCUAUUCAAACUCCGUUUGCCUGGUACUUAGGAAGCGGGCAGAUCUUAAGGUCACAGCUUCCCUCUGCUGCAGGGGCCCUUCCCUGCUCUGCCCUUGCCGCCAUCCUUUGUGAAGUCUCCUUAUUAAACCCGCUUUUAUUUUCAUUUCACAACUGGUUCCCACUUUUCUUCCCUCCUCCUGCUCCUUCCUGAGUCAUCGUCCAGCUUCUUUUCUACCUUUCCCUUAAAGGUAGGAGAUUUUCAGGGCUCCAUUCUGUUCUCUGCUUGCUCCUCUGUGUGACAGGGUCCGUUCUGGUGGCCUUCACAUAUACGAUCCCUUUCCCAGCACCCGUCCCUCUGUACCCACAGAGCCCUGAUGUGCUCAGGCUGUCCUUGGGUAUGUUGAAGGGGAGUGACCAUAACACUCAGUUCUGCCCAGUCAGAGACAAGCAGAAGUCCAUGGGAGGAUCUUCCGGAAGAGCAGUUGUUUUCCUGAUUCUAAGGGCAGGGGGGCACACUGAGUCCUGGUCUGCCUUUUUUUCCCUUUAGUGGGACACAGAUGUGAUACUUGGAAGUGUCACAGCUAGUUUGUGACCCUGAGGGUGAAAGCCACAGGCAAAGCAUGUAUAUCCAAGGAGGAAUCUGCAAGGAGGCUGGGGACUUGAUGACUUCCUAGAGCGGCUGCCUAGACUACUGCUUAUGUUGGGAAAAGAAACCACUGUAGCUGGGGCUAUAGUGCCUGGAGCCAAAUACAAGCCUGACCUGACUUCCAAAUACGUAUUUCUAUUCUGGCCAUCUCUGCUCACUUGUUACCUU